rnacentral:rRNA from 1 species
UACAGAGGGGGCCAGCGUUAUUCGGAAUUAUUGGGCGUAAAGGGCGCGUAGGCGGCCAUGCGUGUCUUCCGUGAAAUCCCUCGGCUUAACUGAGGACGUGCGGAAGAAACUGCAAGGCUCGAGUCCGGGGAGAGGGGGGUGGAAUUCCCAGUGUAGCGGUGAAAUGCGUAGAUAUUGGGAGGAACACCGGUGGCGAAGGCGGCCCCCUGGACCGGUACUGACGCUGA